UCCGUAGGUGAACCUGCGGAAGGAUCAUUACCGAGUGCGGGCCCUCUGGGUCCAACCUCCCAUCCGUGUCUAUCUGUACCCUGUUGCUUCGGCGUGGCCACGGCCCGCCGAAGACUAACAUUUGAACACUGUCUGAAGUUUGCAGUCUGAGUUUUUAGUUAAACAAUAAUUAAAACUUUCAACAACGGAUCUCUUGGUUCCGGCAUCGAUGAAGAACGCAGCGAAAUGCGAUAAUUAAUGUGAAUUGCAGAAUUCAGUGAAUCAUCGAGUCUUUGAACGCACAUUGCGCCCCCUGGUAUUCCGGGGGGCAUGCCUGUCCGAGCGUCAUUGCUGCCCUCAAGCACGGCUUGUGUGUUGGGCUUCCGUCCCUGGUAACGGGGACGGGCCCAAAAGGCAGUGGCGGCACCAUGUCUGGUCCUCGAGCGUAUGGGGCUUUGUCACCCGCUCCCGUAGGUCCAGCUGGCAGCUAGCCUCGCAACCAAUCUUUUUAACCAGGUUGACCUCGGAUCAGGUAGGGAUACCCGCUGAACUUAAGCAUAUCAAUAAGCGGAGGAAAAGAAACCAACAGGGAUUGCCUC
rnacentral:rRNA from 1 species